UUUGGAUCUACGAUGUUACCGAUAUACUGCGUUAUCUAUCUGCAAUUUCCCAAUUGGAAUUGAAGAUAAAUGUAAAUACGCUGAGAUCCAUU